AUUGAACGCUGGCGGCAGGCCUAACACAUGCAAGUCGAACGAGUGGCGGACGGGUGAGUAAUGUCUGGGAAACUGCCCGAUGGAGGGGGAUAACUACUGGAAACGGUAGCUAAUACCGCAUACCAUCGGAUGUGCCCAGAUGGGAUUAGCUAGUAGGUGGGGUAACGGCUCACCUAGGCGACGAUCCCUAGCUGGUCUGAGAGGAUGACCAGCCACAGUGGCACGGAGAAGCGGUGCAGGCUCCGACGGGAGGCAGAAGUGGGGAAGAUUGCACAAUGGGCGCAAGCGUGAUGCAGCCAUGCGGCGGGUAGGAAGAAAGCUGUCGGGGUGUAAAUGACUUUCAGCGAGGAGGCGUUACUCGCAGAAGAAGCACCUGCUAACUCCGGGCCAGCAGCGGCGGUAAUUC
rnacentral:rRNA from 1 species